UGGGGAAUAUUGGACAAUGGGGGAAACCCUGAUCCAGCGACGCCGCGUGUGUGAAGAAGGCCUGCGGGUUGUAAAGCACUUUUAGUGGGGAUGAAAUGUUCAUGGCUAAUACCCGUGGAUUUUGACCUAACCCACAGAAAAAGCACCGGCUAACUCUGUGCCAGCAGCCGCGGUAAUACAGAGGGUGCAAGCGUUAAUCGGAAUUACUGGGCGUAAAGCGUGCGUAGACGGUUACAUAAGUCGGGUGUGAAAGCCCCGGGCUCAACCUGGGAAUUGCAUUCGAGACUGCGUAGCUAGGGUGCGGAAGAGGGAAGCGGAAUUUCCGGUGUAGCGGUGAAAUGCGUAGAUAUCGGAAGGAACACCAGUGGCGAAAGCGGCUUCCUGGUCCAGCACCGACGUUCAGGCACGAAAGCGUGGGGAGCAAACA
rnacentral:rRNA from 1 species